rnacentral:rRNA from 1 species
ACGCUCGACACCUACGGAGGCAGCAGUCGGGAAUAUUGCGCAAUGGAGGAAACUCUGACGCAGUGACGCCGCGUAUGGGAAGAAGGUUUUCGGAUUGUAAACCAUUUUAGACAGGGAAGAAAAAAGACAGUACCUGUAGAAUAAGCUCCGGCUAACUACGUGCAGCACGCCGCGGUAAUCUGAGCGGGCGUGGACAAGGC